rnacentral:rRNA from 1 species
AUAUAACUAAGCGGAGGAAAAGAAACUAACAAGGAUUCCCUCAGUAACGGCGAGUGAAGCGGGAAGAGCUCAGACUGAAAAUCUUCGGAAUUGUAGUCUGGAGAAGUUAAGUCAGUGUGGAUCACUGGGCAAAGUCUUCUGGAAAGAAGUACCAUGGAGGGUGACAGUCCCGUUCAUGCCUGGUGGGAAGCACGUACGACUGACUUUCGACGAGUCGAGUUGCUUGGGAUUGCAGCUCUAAGCGGGUGGUAAAUUCCAUCUAAAGCUAAAUAUCGGUGGGAGACCGAUAGCAAACAAGUACCGUGAGGGAAAGAUGAAAAGAACUUUGAAAAGAGAGUUAAAAAGUACCUGAAAUUGCUGAAAAGGAACCGAUAGGAGGCAGUGUUGGCAGACGAUUAUCUUUUAUUCUCCGCUUGCGGGGGGUGCGCGUAGUUGUUUGCAAGUCAGGCUUUCUUGGGUAAGUGGGAGAGGUCUUGUCUUCGUGAGGAGACGGGGGUGCCGCCACUUUUGCCCGAGAGACUUUGACGAAAUGCCUCUUAUCAU